rnacentral:lncRNA from 1 species
AUGCUAGAACUUGAUGGACUGCAUACCUAGGACAUGCAGACAGUGGCUUAAGAACUUCUUCCGGAUCACCAGACUAGUCUACAGCUCUACUAAUAGGACAAAUGUAUGUGUGGGACAGAUUUUUUUAAAAGCAGCAAUAAUAACAUUGUAUGCUUGUUGCACAUCAGGAACUAUUCCAACUACUUUACAUGUGUUAACUCACUUAUUUCUAAAAAUAACCCUUUUGAGAUAUUUAUAUUGUCGUCUGCAUUUUACAGAUGGUGCAACUGAUCUGCAGAGAAGCUAAUUAACUUGCCCAAAGUUAUGGAGCUAAGGAAUGGCUUUAGAAAGCAAAAGAAAAAUUUUUUAUUAAGAAAUGAAAAGAAAAAAGACGCAGUAUGGACUCAGACUGAUAAACCAUUUGCAUGAGAGAACUAUACACCAUUUGAAAAAGAGCUUUUUUGCAAGGUGUGGUGGCUAACUCCUGUAACCCUGGCAACUCGAAAGGCUGAGGCAGGAGGAUCACUUGGGGCCAGGAGGUGGAGACCAGCCUGGGCAAUACAGCAAGAUCCUGUCUCUAAAAUAAAGAAACAAAUAAAAGAAAAAGAAAAACAGCUUUUGGUAUACUACUGGACUCACAUAGAAACCAAUCUUCUGAACCUAGAACAUCAAAUGACCACAUAAUAAAAUAAUCUAUCUUGAACUGAGUUAGACCAUUAGUUAACAAGUCAUAACAUUAGGCAACCUCAGCAGCGAUCUGUUGUAAAAUGGAAGUGUUAUAUUUAAAGUUUUGGGCUCAAUUAAGUCCAGAGAGCUUAAGUAAGCUUCAAGAAAGACGGCUUGGACCUCCAUGUCACCUGAAAAUGUUGCAUUAACAACACUCCCUUAGCCUCAUGGGAGGAAUUCUCCAUUACCAGCUGAUAGAGAAAGACAGUUUGAGUUUGAUCCAUGGAUAGGUUGGCUUGAUACAUGGUUACCGGUGGAAAAUGAACUGCUAUUUUACUAUACCCCUUACUUGGGAAUGUCCCUGACAGACAGUUGUGAGGAAAAUCCCUUAGGCAGAGUAUCUGUCAGUUCAUUUGGUCAUUCAUUUGUAUAAUAAGAAAAGUCGUCCAAACUAAGGGUAUACGUGAACUCUUAGGCAAUAGUUAAUGGUUUAGCUCUCUGGUGAGAAGUCAGAAAGGAGUAAGAUUGGAAGAUUGGGAUCAAGUAGGACUAGAAAAGAAGCAUGUAUUUAGACCUAUGGGAGUGGGCACGUGGUGUGAGCAUGUUUGUAUUGCAUGCUAACUCUCCCCACCCCCUUUUAUGCCAUUUCUCACUAUAUCUGCCAAAUCAUUUAUACUGCAGAAUCUUUUAUAUUUUUCACUGGACUGAUUAUAUGAAUGUAGUAUUAAUUAACAUGUUUCUCCACACCCAUGUUUUUGCAAUAAUUUGGCAGUAGAUCCAGAUUUGAUUAGAUUCAUCUUUGCUUUUUUCUUUUUUUGGCAAUAACAGACCAUAGAGAGGUGAUAUAAUCUGAACUUCCUAUUGCAUCAGGAAGAACAUAAUGUAUUCUCUUAUUUUUAUUUAGGUUAAGAUGGAUCAAGUGUUGCCAUCUAUCCAUUAAAAAUUUUUCCCAUCAAUCUUUCAUCUAAUAGUUUUAGCAUUUAUUAUUUAAUUCAAGGUGCAAAGUGGUGAUGUUUCAAUUCUAAUAUUACUCCUGAAUUUACUAGUUGUUAUUCUUUUCUAAAGAGGAAAUUUCAUACAUUUUUUGAGUAUUCUGAAAUACGGUCUUAAUAGGAAAGACAGAAUAAAUGUUAUCUUUUCUUCUUUUAUUAUUAUAAUAAUGAGUUCUUGUCUUAUUAAUCAUCAAAGCCAAUAUAUGAAUUUCCUUUUGAAUAUCAUUAUGAAGUUAAGA